rnacentral:rRNA from 1 species
AUUGAACGCUGGCGGCGUGCUUUACACAUGCAAGUCGGGCGAGUGGCGGACGGGUGAGUAAUGCAUCGGAAUGUGCCUGGUAGAGGGGGAUAACUACCCGAAACGACAGCUAAUACCGCAUAUCAUCCGAUCAGCCCAUGUUUGAUUAGCUGGUUGGCGGGGUAAAGGCUCACCAAGGCGACGAUCAGUAGCUGGUCUGAGAGGAUGAUCCGCCACACUGGGACUGAGACACGGCCCAGACUCCUACGGGAGGCAGCAGUGGGGAAUAUUGCACAAUGGGCGCAAGCCUGAUGCAGCCAUGCCGCGUGUAUGAAGAAGGCCUUCGGGUUGUAAAGGACUUUUGUUAGGGAAGCGGUACCGGAAGAAGAAGCACCGGCUAACUACGUGCCAGCAGCCGCGGUAAUAC